AUCAAAACAAGAAGAAAAUAUUAAAAAGACAUUUUGUGCCAGGACAUCAUGGUAGUGCUGGAUUGCCUAUCCAACUCUGUAUAAAGGUUUUUCAAACAAUUUGUGAAGAAUGUUAGUAUCUUCAGAGUCUUCUGCAUCAGCAAAGAGUAGUGCAUUAACUAAUGGAAAAGAGAAGAUAAAAUUUCUGGUGCUCAUGAUGACUAGUCCGAACCUGUGAACUUCUGAGAAAAUUUACAGUUCUGAAAACUAGAGGUGGUUACCGAAUUGAAUAGCCGUUGGUUCUACAGCCACUAUAAUGAUCUGAAAAGUUGAAUGUGUUGCAUGAACACUUUCAGGAAUCAUAAUAGAACUCAGCUAAUUAGAUAGAGACUGGAAUGUUGAUUUGAAGACAAUUACUUUAUAAAGAUUUUCUCAUUGCUGCUUUUGCAUUAUCCCAAGAAGUGGAGACACUACUACAUGGAUAAGAACUGUAUGAUUGAAUUGACUUUGGAAUCAUCUCAGUAUUGUCAUAAAAUAUUCACUGUAUGUAGUCAAUUUUUUCCUCAGAGUUGAUGGUUAUAAAUACUUGUCAAGUUGGAAAAAUUCACUUUUACUUUUAUUUGCAUCACACUUACUAGAUUAGAGACUAGAUUGCUUUAAAUUGAGUCUUCAUUUACAACUUCAAGGAAUUUUCCAGUACCUGUAAUUUCUCCAUUCUUGACUCUGCCUUAAAUUCAACUAGACAGCUGGCUUUUAAGACCGACUUGAGUAUUCUGG
rnacentral:lncRNA from 1 species